AGUGAACGCUGGCGGCAUGCCUAACACAUGCAAGUCGAACGAAUUUUGACAGUUUAUCGUCAGAGUUAGUGGCAAACGGGUGAGUAAUACGUGGACAAUCUUCCCUCGAGCGGGGGAUAACUCCGGGAAACCGGAGCUAAUACCGCGUGAGACCACGUCCUGGCAUCAGGAUGAGGUUAAAGCUCCGCAAGGGGCACUUGAGGAGGGGUUCACGGCCUAUCAGCUAGUUGGCGGGGUUAAAGCCCACCAAGGCGACGACGGGUAACCGGUCUGAAAGGAUGAUCAGCCACACUGGAACUGAGACACGGUCCAGACUCCUACGGGAGGCAGCAGUGGGGAAUAUUGCGCAAUGGGCGAAAGCCUGACGCAGCCACGCCGCGUGAGCGAUGAAGGUCUUCGGAUCGUAAAGCUCUGUGGGGGAGAGAAGAAAGCCGGUGAAGAGCGGCCCUGACGGUAUCCCUUAGCAAGCACCGGCUAACUCCGUGCCAGCAGCCGCGGUAAAGUAG
rnacentral:rRNA from 1 species